rnacentral:lncRNA from 1 species
UGAGAAGAUAGCAAAAGCUGAAGCAGACACAGAAUCCACAAGUGGAAAAUACAGCAGUGCCAUUAAAGGAGUGGGCAUGUGGCCUAUUUCUGGCCCUAUGAAGCAAAAGGAGAGGUCUGCUGGGAGACUUCCUGAAACUGCUCUUCCUGGAAGGAGGGAAACAAACAAAACAACAACAAAAGAACUUUACAAGAGAAAGCUUUUUAUCCCAGCCCCUUCCUACUCCCAUUGAAUGCAGCUCUGUGAGGACACGAUAUUUGAAGCUGCAGUAGCUGAGGUGGCAAAAGAUGGCAGAACAGAAGAGCAGACAGAAUCUGGGUCCUAGAUGACUUCAUUGCACUGCUGCAACUGCCUUCUCCAGACCUCUUGCCAGCUCUGACCAAUACCAGUGUGGGUUGUCUAAACAAAUUAAUUUUUAAAAGUAAGGAAUGUGUCUUUUCAGGCCUGUGGUUCCCUAUGGAAACACUGACAAGAACAGGUGGAAGAAAUAUGUGGUCUUCGGUUAAAAACUCUUCAGGGUUCAAAGAAGGGCACUCUCACAUCAUGUGAUGGGUGAGCUCUAGUCAUUCUGUGAGAGGAACUCCAGGAGACCAGAUCCAACUCGCAAUCAGCUAUAGUGAAGUUAUGAUAUGAGAAGCACCAACUUGGCACAAGACUUGGGAAAGGCAAUGAGGCAGCAGGCAAGCUUUAAGGGAUGACACUUACCUUGAGGGAGCAAGGACAAGUUGUGACCUUCCCAGUCCUCUCUCCAUUUGCAGAUCAGCAAGCUUCUGUCAGCAAGGAGGGGUGGACAAUGAAACUGGGUUCAGCUUGAUUUGUUUUUUGAGACAGGUAUGGCAAGGGGCUGCCAACAAGGUAAGUCAUCUUUGGACAAGCCAAGUGCUUUGGGAAACAAUUGUUUCUGAAAAUAAGUGUUUGUGUCAAACAUUCUCUUUGUUAGUAGGAGACAUUUUUGUUGGAUCAUGUUGUCCUCAGCAAAAGAGGUUGCAGAGAAGUUAAGGAAGUUGGGAUAACUUAGAGUCUCAGUGCUUUGGGGCAAUUUACAGACAGCACUGUGUGAUCCUCCCAUCUCAGGACUUACAUCAUGUUGCUAACUCCCUCACUGGGGGCCAUGGUUCUGAAAGGAAGAAAGCAUGUCUUAUUCACUCACCUUUGAGUCUCCAGCACUGAGCACAGCACCUGUCACUCAGUAGGCACUCAAUAAAUGUAAAUUGAUAUGAAACAUGACACGUGGUGCCUUUUACAGAACAAAAAUUAAUUUGUCCUAAAGGCCUCCAGGGAUGCAAUUCUGAAUUUUAGUAUGUGUCUACCUUAGGGUUGAGGUUAAUGUUUAAGUGUGACAAGAAAGGGUUAGUUUGGCUGAAAUAGUUCUUCCUGUGGUAUUAACUGGUAAAAUGAAAUAUAAUGUCAUUCUAAUCUCUUCCAAGCCUUUCCUGAUUCAAACAUGGAAAUGUGUUUCUGCAGAUUGGGGCGUUUCAGCUAAAGGUUCAACGAGAUUAAAAAGGAGAAAGCUUGAGUCGUUUGAGUCAAUAUCACAAACAGGAUUUAGGUAUUCAUUAAGAUAAGGAUAAACUGCUAAAUUUAGGUUUACUCAUGAUUAAUUUGUUUGAUGUAUUUCCUUGCAGAAUAAUACAUGAACUAGAUUUUGAAUGUGAUACAGACACACACCAUUUUUUACAAUAUAUAGCUUAAAAAUUUAGAUGUAUUCUAUGUGUACAAUCCAGAAAGGAGAUGAAAUCCUGCCUCCUCUUUUAUAAACUUAUUUGGAGGGGGAGCUAAAUGGAAGCCAAAUUUUUGCUGAACUCAAAUUGGCCAUGGAUUCUGGAUACACUGGGGCUGGAGAAGGGUAUGGUUGAGAAGGACAAGAGGCAUUGCACAAACACAUUCCUGGAAAUAAAUCUACACAGACUGGUUGACUUGAAAACUGGUUAAUCAGAAAUUUUGCCCUGCUUCGGGUAAAGCUAGAAACAUUGAAUCCCAACUCUGUGAGUAACAUGCCUAAUAGGAAAACUGAAAAUUCUGUGUAUUUCUUUUCCAAAAUUAAAUGGCAGCCAACGUUUGCAGAAAAAAAAAAAAAAAAACAACCACAAUGGGGAAUUAGAUUACAGCUGUUUGCUUAAAAAUUGAUAACUGAUUUUGUUGUUUCUUUAAUGGAAAUAUUUGUAUUGUGCAUUCUUGUUGUUGUCUGAAGAAAAAUGGUGAGAAUAUUACAGUGCGACUGCAGAAUACAAGUUUGAUAGAACUAAUCUGAUUUACCUUAGAUACACUCCUCAUUCGGGAGAAUUUAUUUAACUGGUAAUUUAAUUUAGGUGGAGAGGCACUUUAAUUGGAGUUGAUUACUGUGGGAUUUUUACAUAAAGUACGAUGCACUCUUGAGUUACAGCACCACAUGAUGUAAAAUUGGGUAAUUUUAAGCCACUGGAUAUUUUUAUCCCAACUAUAAUAGAAUUUGCUGAAAAAUGCUUAUUAACUGAAACUGUUUUCUAGGUUGGAUACUAUUUGGAAAAUCUUUGGCACUAUGUCAAAGAUGGUUGGAAAUUUACUAAAGCUAGCAGACCAAAAAACAAAACAAAACAAAACAAAAAGACUUAAUUUAUUAGGACUGCAGUGGUGAUGUGUUGUCACUUCAGGACACCCCACUACCUGAAUUGCAGCAGUGUUGCGAAUCAUCACUCUGCAGUGAAUGGGAAUUUUUGGUUUAGAGUUUAACAGAUUUUCCUGGUCUUUCUCCUAGCGACUGACACAGAAAUACGAAAGAAUAAAAUGAUUCCAAAAAAAAAAAAAACACCUACAUUAACCAUUUGGGGGUAAAAACGAUGAAAAUGUAAAGGCAAAUGAUGAAUUUAUCAAAAAGAAUGAAGGAACAGAUAGCAUAUGUAUGUAGGAACACAGUAGCUUUAAAAUAUCAGAAAGAUGAAGGACAGAAAUGCCAAGUGAAGCAGAGGGUUUCUACAUUUGUCUUCUGCUUUUGCAUGUCCCACAUUCCCUUAUGUAAUAGAUCUUUAAUGGAUUCCCUACUGUCACAGAACCUUUAUAAGACCAGCCUAUGGAGAAUGCAAAGGAACUAAAUAAUGGACAGUUAACGUUCUGGAAAAGCAAUUUAUUAUCUUGCUAGGAGCUGGCUUCUCAUUGCAUUUAGAAUAAACUUUAAACAGCUAUAUCAUCUUCCAGGCCUGAUAUGAUCUGGCCCCUGCAAACUUACCUUCACAUCUUCCACUCCCAUCCUCAUUCUUCAGGCUCUAGCUACACUGGCUUUCUUUCAUCCUUGGACUUUCUACACUGGUUCUUUCUGCAAGGCUUUGCACUGCCAUGCUCUCUCUCUGGAAUGCUUUUCCUUUGACUAAAUUUUUCCAUGUAAUUCAGGUCUUAGUUCAAUUUUAAUCUCCCCUAAGAGAUUUCCCAUCCUAUCUAAAGCAGUCUAUGCCCUUCCCUAUCCCUAGGUCCCGCAAUCACAUUACCUAGUUAGAUUUCCUUCAAACCUCUUGAAAUUCCCUUAUUUAUUCUUUUGAGUUUUUUUCCACUUCACCUUCCCCAUAGAACAUGAGCUCCUCAGUGUCAGGGGUCUUCUGUUUCGUUCACUGCUAUAUCCCCAACACCUAGAAUAGAACAUGACACACAGUGAGCCAUGAAUGAAUGAGAAAGAGUACAGGACUCACAGUGGAACUGCCUAUGAACAAAAGGAAUACUGGACAAAAAGAAAUGGACUAGGGAAGAAAAUCAGGAAGAAGAGGAACAAAGAAUGGGGUCUAGGGACUGAGAAUUGGUUAUAGUGUACAAUUUUAGCCCCUAUAAAAAAGUUUUUUACAUGCAUUCCAAGCAGAGGGAAUGGCAAGUGCUAAGAGGAAGUCUUUCCAUCACUACACACAGCUGUUUUUUACUUUGUUGUUGUUAGUGGUUUUGUUUUCAGUGUGUGUGUUGGGAGUGGGGGGAGGAUGGGUGUGAGGGAUCUCUGCGUGUUUCUCUCAGGGGAAGGCUGGGUUUUCUCUUUCAGCCUACAGGUGUUGCUGCAUGUUCUUGGGGUGGCCAAUGGAGCACUAGACAGGAAUACCACCCAUGGCAGCUCUGCAACUUAUUCUAAGACUUUUAGGGCAAGAGGCAGGAAAGAGUGAAGGAAUGAUCACCACAUUGUACCAGGGGUAUACCAGUGAGAGGUAAGAUGAUCUGGGUGGUAGCAGUGACCCCCACUUUUUUUACCCAGAAAAAGAUGGAUAAAUGCUCUGACAUUGCUGUGACCCAGGGAUCUGUGGCCAUGGUUGCUUGUGCAGGCAGCAGCCAAUACUUCUGAAUGGCUCCCUUGGGACUACAAAACUGUGUGUGGGCGCAGGGAGCCCAUACUAUUUGCCACAUCAGAAAAAUCCAUUCAUGAAAAGGAAAGACAGAGAAUGAUAAAAGUCUUCUCAGAAAGCCUUAGCAAAAUGGGUGCUUUUAUUUUCACAGACAUGUC